rnacentral:rRNA from 1 species
AGUGAACGCUGGCGGUAGGCCUAACACAUGCAAGUCGAACGGCAGCACAGUAAGAGCUUGCUCUUACGGGUGGCGAGUGGCGGACGGGUGAGGAAUACAUCGGAAUCUACUUUUUCGUGGGGGAUAACGUAGGGAAACUUACGCUAAUACCGCAUACGACCUACGGGUGAAAGCAGGGGAUCUUCGGACCUUGCGCGAUUGAAUGAGCCGAUGUCGGAUUAGCUAGUUGGCGGGGUAAAGGCCCACCAAGGCGACGAUCCGUAGCUGGUCUGAGAGGAUGAUCAGCCACACGGGAACUGAGACACGGUCCAGACUCCUACGGGAGGCAGCAGUGGGGAAUAUUGGACAAUGGGCGCAAGCCUGAUCCAGCCAUACCGCGUGGGUGAAGAAGGCCUUCCGGUUGUAAAGCCCUUUUGUUGGGAAAGAAAAGCAGCAGGUUAAUACCCCGCUGUUCUGACGGUACCCAAAGAAUAAGCACCGGCUAACUUCGUG